rnacentral:rRNA from 1 species
UACGUAGGGUGCGAGCGUUAAUCGGAAUUACUGGGCGUAAAGCGUGCGCAGGCGGUCUGUUAAGACCGAUGUGAAAUCCCCAGGCUCAACCUGGGAACUGCGUCUGAUACUGGAUGGCUUGAAUUCGGGAGAGGGAUGCAGAAUUCCCAGUGUAGAGGUGAAAUUCGUAGAUAUUGGGAAGAACACCGGUGGCGAAGGCGGCUCUCUGGACCGAGACUGACGCUGAGGCGCGAAAGCGUGGGGAGCAAACAGG